rnacentral:rRNA from 1 species
UCUAGUGGCGCACGGGUGCGUAACGCGGUGGGAACCUGCCUUUAGGUUCGGAAUAACUCAGAGAAUUUGAGCUAAUACCGGAUAAUGUCUUCGGACCAAAGAUUUAUCGCCUUUAGAUGGGCCCGCGUUGGAUUAGCUAGUUGGUGGGUAAAGGCCUACUAAGGCGACGAUCCAUAGCUGGUCUUGAGAGGAUGAUCAGCCACACUGGGACUGAGACACGGCCCAGACUCCUACGGGAGGCAGCAGUGGGGAAUAUUGGACAAUGGGCGAAAGCCUGAUCCAGCAAUGCCGCGUGAGUGAUGAAGGCCUUAGGGUUGUAAAGCUCUUUUACCCGAGAUGAUAAUGACAGUAUCGGGAGAAUAAGCUCCGGCUAACUCCGUG